rnacentral:lncRNA from 1 species
GGCAUCAGAACACCAUCAGAUUACUAUAUUUGAAGAGUAUCUACUGAAUGUGAAUUUUUGUAUACAUUAUGGAUAUUAUGGGACGCAGUGAUACCAUUUGGCUCGACAAAGGCACUGUUGCAUUCAUGAAGAUAUGAAUGACGUUUUCAUGAACAUUUGGAUAGGUGUGCGAUUGUAUUCAUCGAUGACAUCCUGAUUUAUUUUGGAGAAGAAAGGAGAUUUGUGAGCAUUUCGCGGAUUGCGUUGGAUAAGCCUGGAGAGCAUCAGUUGUUCGCUAAGUUGAGGAAGUGUAGCUUCUGGCAGAGGAAUGUUGUAUUUUUGGCUGACAUGGUUUUGGAAGCAGAAUUUUGAUGGAUCAAAAGAAGAUUAAUACCGUUUCGGGGAGGUCGAAACCUAAGAGCGCUACAAAGAUCUGCCGUUCUUUUUGGGUUAAUAGUGUUCUACUGGAAGUUCAUCAAGGGUUUCACCGGUAUAGUAAUGUUAAAGACGUGGUCUGCAUGUAAAGACGUAAAGUGUGGCUGGAUAGAUUUUUGUUCAAGGAGUUUCACUGAAUUGAAGCACAACUAAUGAAGACACCAGUUUUGGGUUCUACUGAGGCUGAGGCUUACUGUGAUGUGUCAGAUACUGGAUUGGAUUUAAAUUAAGGUAUGAGGAUUAAGUCAUUCAUAUGCAUCACGCCAGAGAGGCUGUAGUGGUAUUUGCGUUAUCGUUUUGGAAAUCGUAAUUGUACGGGAAGGAAAUUCAGAUUCUCUGGGAUUAUUAGAAUGUGAAAUUUAUCUUCAUUUAUUAAAAACUUGUACUUGGACAGUGCAGUUGGAUUGAGUUUGUAGCAGGCUAUAGUCUGGAUAUCGCAUACUAUCUGGUAAGGACAACCAGGUGAUAAAUGCCUUGGGUAGGCGUAUGAGCUGUAUCUCAGGAACCAAGAAGGUUCAUGAGUUGGAGAUUUGCUAGUCUCAGGUUGGGUGUCAUUACUAUCAAUGGAGAGACAGAUGUCCUUGGGACUUUGGAGCAGGCAGUUUUGCUAUGGAGGAUACACAAGCACAAGUUAGCAUUCUGGAUUGGUUGAACAGAUCGAGAUUGGGAGUAUUGGAUAUCAUACAGCUUUGAGCAGGAUAUACUUGUACUGAAACCGAGUUUGUGUGUUGGACGAUAAGUUGUUAAGAAAAGGAAUCUUACAACAAACAUAUCACUCGUGUUUCUCUACCCAUCGGGAAGACCAAAGGGUACAAAGAUAUGAAGAGUUAACUAUAAUUGGUGUAGUAUGAAGAUGUUUGUAACUACAUUACGUCGCGGUGCCAGACAUGUUAUAUGGCAAUAACAGAGGAUCAGUCAUCUAUCAUGUUAUUUUUGAGCUUGCUUUUGCUGGAGUAGAAAUGAGGCAUGGUGAUUAUGGACAUUGUUAUUGGAUUUUAAAUCACCAUAUGUGGAAAGGAUGCCACAUGGGUAGUCAUGGAUAGACUUACCAAGUCAGCCCAUUACCUAAGUAAUUAAGAAGAUAAUCAGGGCUAAUCAAUUGGAGCAGACCUACAUUAUUGAGUUCAGGAAGUUUCAUGGAUGUCAACAUUGUAUCGGAUUGGGAAUCGAAGUUCACAUCUACAUUUCAGAAAGCCUUUCGGAAGGCACUUGGUACAAAGAUCAUAUGAGUACAUCUUAUCACCCGUUGACAUAUUGUCAGUUAGAGAGGACUAUUGAGGACUUAAAUGAUAUGUUCAGAGAUUGCGUGGGAUGGAAUUUCGGAAAGCAUCUACCUUUACCAGAGUUUGCCUACAUCGACAAUUAUCUUUCGAGUAAAAAAAAAAAAAAAAAAAAAAAAAAAAAAAAAAAAAAAAAAAAAAAAAAAAAAAAAAAAAAAAAAAAAAAAAAAAAAAAAAAAAAAAAAAAAAAAAAAAAAAAAAAAAAAAAAAAAAAAAAAAAAAAAAAAAAAAAAAAAAAAAAAAAAAAAAAAAAAAAAAAAAAAAAAAAAAAAAAAAAAAAAAAAAAAAAAAAAAAAAAAAAAAAAAAAAAAAAAAAAAAAAAAAAAAAAAAAAAAAAUUACUAUACAAGGGUUAUUUAUGGUAGACCUUAUAGUAUACCACUUUGUUGGACCAAAGUGGGGGAGCGACAUGAGUUAAAAGUAUUAAUGGUUCAAAAGACGGCUGAGCAAAUGGAAAUGCUCAAUGAUGGGCUUUCGGAAUCCCAUGACGUCAGAAGAUUUAUGCAGCUAAGCGCCAUAAAUAUUUGGAGCUACAUAUGGGCGACUUAAUAUACCUGAAAAUAAGGACAUUUCAAGAGGGGCCUAAGACUCAGAAGAUAAAGGAGCUUAAACCGAGACACAUGGAAUUGUAUCCUGCACUGGAGUGGAUUGGAUUAUUUGCUUGCAGUUACUUUAUCAGCAGUAUAUCAGCCUUCUAGUACUUGGUUCAUAUGACAGCAUUGCAAAAGUUGAGAAGGCGCUAUAACUAUUUUGCAGUAGACAUCAAGUGAGUUCAUAAAGAUUUUAUGAACCUUAUCAUCUAUUGGAGAUUUUGGAUCAUCAAGAGAAAACAGUUCGGGGAAUGUCGACUGUGUUUGUCCGAGUUCAUUGGGAGGGAGAUAAGACCCAGGAGGAGACCUGAAAGGUCGAGCGAAGAUUAGUAUUCGAGGUUUUGCUAUGAUGACAUUGGGCACGUUAGCUUAUGACAUGAAUUCGGGGACGAAUUCCUUAUAAGUGGAGGAGAAUUGUAAUGACCCACCACUCCCACCAUCUCCACUUCUUUCUCCAACCCCACCACUUCCAACUUCUUCUCCACCAUCUCCACCUUCUUCCCCACCACCUCCAUCUUCUUUAAAAUUAAGAAAAAGAGAGAGAGAGAGAGAGAGAGAGAGAGAGAGAGAGAAAGAGAGAGAGAAGAAGAAGAAGAAGGGAGAAAGCUCACCUGAGCUCGUCGCCGGAGCCACCACACGCCAGGACGUCGUAAAGCUCGUCACCACCAUCAUCCGCAACCAAAGGUAACCGGAAACCGCCAUAUUUUUGAGUUUAGUUUCGGCCGUUUUGGUAAAUCGACCAUAACUUCUUAACCGUUGCGAAUCUCGUGCAUCCAAGCCCAUCAUCGUGUUCCUCUCGUCGAGACGAAGCCGUAGACACCAAGCACGCCUCAAACGGAGCCCGGACGCAGCCGUACGCGCCUCCAGAAAACCGCCCUUCGCGCGCGCGUGAAACGCACGCGCCGCCGCCGGAAAUCGUCGCCACCGCAGCUCCGCCGCCGGACCACCGUCCGCCGCCGCAGCUCCGCCGUCGCCGCCGGCCAACUUUCCGGUAAGCCGCCGCCGCAGCUCCGCCGUCGCCGCCGGUGACCGACACCGGUGACUCACCGGCGACUCGGUCAACUCGGCCGAGUCAACUCAGUGAGUCAACUCGGUUGACUCGGUUAACCGGUUGGUUAGCCGGUUUAAAUUGAUUUUGGUUCGGUUAGGGUAAACCGGUCGGUUUAGUCAAAUCGAUUUCCGGGUUGACUUUGACCGGGUUGACUUUGACCAGCGGGUUGACUUUUUUCGAAAACCUUGACCAGUUCCGUUUUCGACCGUUCGAAAGGCGUUCUGACUCAGAAUUUCGAUCUGAUUUCAGAUAUGGAGUCUAUUUGAGCAGCUGGAGUUCAUAGACAACACUUUUCUAUUGCUAAGGUGAGGGUCUAUUCCCGAACUCCUCUUAUUCGGCUUAGGACCUCGAAUAAGUAUAAUUUAUUUCUAAUGUGUUCCGUCUGUGUGAAAUCGAGUCUAUCAUUGCUUGUUUAGUUUUAGGUUCUUUGCAUAAACCGGAACUAGGGGGUUAGAGGAUUCAACAUUGAUUGUUUCACUUAAUGUAAAUUCUUAGCUAGGAUUGUUUUUGUUUGGAGACGGAUACAGAGUCGGACUGCUGUAUGCCGGAUUGUAUGGAGGUCACAGCCAACUUUAGUCGACCGGUUGAGCUGUAGACUGGAAGUGUCGAUAAAUCGUCUACGGGCGUGUGUUACCGAGCACUUUUUCGGUGUGUGUAUGAACCGAGCACCUUUUCGGUAGUGUUUUGGCCUGUUAGUGGGCGGCGAGUGUGCACCUCGCUAGGACCAUUGUUUGUUGCUUGAGUACUUUAGGUACUGUGUUUGACAUGCAUUAGAAUUAAAUUAUAUUUAUUCGGAGUGCUAUGUCCGGGUCCAUGGACUUCGGGGUAGCAUCCCAUACCUCACUGAGCGAUUCCCCUGUCGCUCACCCCUCACUCUUCCCCCUUUCAGGUGAGACAAACAAGUAUGUGAUAUUUGGACGGACUUGGUGCUACUGGACUUUUCUUUCGGAUUUUAUUUGGGCAUGGGUGAGAGUUGUCGGGUUUAUGGGCUUUUAUAUUACAGGAUAUUGUUGGUGGCCCGUCGUCCUUAGUGUCAGGGAGACGGGUAUCACAUUGUUGUAUGAUGACGCGUCGGGGGUGACACGCUGUCCUCCAUAUAGGAGGUGACGGGUGUCACAGAUAAUUUCUUCAUCCUAACUCCUAUGUGAUUUAUUCAACUUAUUUGGUAUCAGAGCGGGUUCCAUCCCGGUUCCGUCCGGGAUGGCGGUCAGGGGAUUCGGUUUUCAUCGGUUUUCAACUUUAAAAAAAAAAAAACUAUAUAUUUAUUUAUACAUUUCGAAAUUCUUUUAGCACCAUUCUGUCCUGUAAUUACUAACUCAAAUGUCUCUUUCUAUGACGAUGAGUAAAAUCAUCGUCAUUCGUCCUUCGACUAAUAAGGUUCUCGACAGAUGUUCAGCAGUUGCGUGAAGUCCAAGUUCGUCAGUUUUCUCGGGAGUUAUCAGUUUCUUCGGACAUGAUUUCGAGGCUAUCCAGGAGUGGAUAUAUGACGUUUCUGCCACCAGCCCACUUCAAGCAAUCGUUCCACGAGUUUUGUUACUGGAGAUUUUGUGGUGUGUGAUAUGAGCCAUUGGUUGGCAUGUGUUGUUGUGUGUACGAGUAUAUUGACUAUUUUGGAGAUAUAUUUGUUUUGUGAACUCGUGGAGAUCGCUUUUGAAUUGGGGUGCAGCAGCUUGCGUUGUGUGGGUGUUGGAGUUACACUUUGGUAUGUUUACCAAUUUUGGCAGUGUUGAUCGUUUCAGAGAUGUGUCAGUUUGGACAACUGACAUAGGACAUUGGGAGCUGUUUAUAUCCAUCGCAGGGUACCAGUUAUGCUUGGAGGGCCGAUUUGUUCGGAUAUUCAUCAGAGAUGGAGCUACGUUUUUACGAUGUUAUCCUUGGGACGGAUUGAUUGUCACGGCAUCAAGUAGUGUUGGAUUGCCUGAUGGCAAGAGUUCCGAUUGCUGGAGCAGAUGGAAGUUGUUAGUGCAUGCAUGCUACAUACUGAGGAGUUAUGGGAUACAAGGACAUAGAGAUUUUUGACUACCAUCUCGAUGGUUAAGGCUGAUGGACAACAUGAGCUGCAGGAUCUUCCGGUUAUUGCAGAGUAUGAGGACAUAUUUGUGACCUUUGGAACGGUCAUCACAUGACACAUGAGAAACUCUUGCGAUUUGUUUGGAGCAAACAACACCAGUUUCACAAGUUUUAUACCGAUUAGCACCAACAGAGAUGACAAAGCUGAAAGAGCAUGUUGAAGAUUCAUCAGACAAGGGUUUUAUCAGACCGGGUACUUUACCGUGGGGAACAUCAUCAUUGUUGUUGUAAAGAAGAAAGGUGGGAGUUUCAAUUUUGUAUCGACUGCAAAGGUCUGAACAAAGUGACCAUUAAAGAUAAGUAUCGCUUCCGCGCGUUGAUGAAUUAUUGGAUUAUUACAGGAAGUUUAUAGUUCUUGAAGGUUGACUUGGCAUCAGAACACCAUCAGAUUACUAUAUUUGAAGAGUAUCUACUGAAUGUGAAUUUUUGUAUACAUUAUGGAUAUUAUGGGACGCAGUGAUACCAUUUGGCUCGACAAAGGCACUGUUGCAUUCAUGAAGAUAUGAAUGACGUUUUCAUGAACAUUUGGAUAGGUGUGCGAUUGUAUUCAUCGAUGACAUCCUGAUUUAUUUUGGAGAAGAAAGGAGAUUUGUGAGCAUUUCGCGGAUUGCGUUGGAUAAGCCUGGAGAGCAUCAGUUGUUCGCUAAGUUGAGGAAGUGUAGCUUCUGGCAGAGGAAUGUUGUAUUUUUGGCUGACAUGGUUUUGGAAGCAGAAUUUUGAUGGAUCAAAAGAAGAUUAAUACCGUUUCGGGGAGGUCGAAACCUAAGAGCGCUACAAAGAUCUGCCGUUCUUUUUGGGUUAAUAGUGUUCUACUGGAAGUUCAUCAAGGGUUUCACCGGU